rnacentral:rRNA from 1 species
UACGAAGGGGGCUAGCGUUGCUCGGAAUGACUGGGCGUAAAGGGCGCGUAGGCGGAUAGUACAGUCAGAUGUGAAAGCCCCGGGCUCAACCCGGGAAGUGCACUCGAUACUGCCACGCUAGAGUAUCGGAGAGGUUGGUGGAAUUCUCGGUGUAGAGGUGAAAUUCGUAGAUAUCGAGAGGAACACCGGUGGCGAAGGCGGCCAACUGGACGAAUACUGACGCUGAGACUCGAAAGCGUGGGGAGCAAACAGG